ensembl:snoRNA SNORD39 Small nucleolar RNA SNORD55/SNORD39
AGUAUAUGAUGAUACCUUGGUAAUGCUGCACAUUGCUGCCUGAGCACUGGGGAAGCCAAACGUGGAGAGCUUAGUGUGCA